AUACGGAGGGGGCUAGCGUUGUUCGGAAUUACUGGGCGUAAAGGGCGUGUAGGCGGAUCGAUUAGUCAGGCGUGAAAGCCCCGGGCUCAACCCGGGAACUGCGUUUGAAACUGUCGAUCUUGAGUUCGGGAGAGGGUAGUGGAAUUCCCAGUGUAGAGGUGAAAUUCGUAGAUAUUGGGAAGAACACCAGUGGCGAAGGCGGCUUACUGGCUCGAUACUGACGCUGAGGCGCGAAAGCGUGGGGAGCAAACAGGAUUAGAAACCCGAGUAGUCC
rnacentral:rRNA from 1 species